rnacentral:rRNA from 1 species
GAUCAUGGCUCAGGGUGAACGCUAGCUACAGGCUUAACACAUGCAAGUCGAGGGGCAGCAUUUCAGUUUGCUUGCAAACUGGAGAUGGCGACCGGCGCACGGGUGAGUAACACGUAUCCAACCUGCCGAUAACUCGGGGAUAGCCUUUCGAAAGAAAGAUUAAUACCCGAUGGCAUAAUUAGACCGUCAUGGUCUUGUUAUUAAAGAAUUUCGGUUAUCGAUGGGGAUGCGUUCCAUUAGG